AAUACUAAAAACCCUAAAUCGGCAGGCGGGCAAUUUUGAUCGACGGGGACGCCAGAGGCUUCCAGAGAGGGAGGCUUAGUCUCCGCUUUUGACUAUUCGAUGGUAUACCUCCGCCAGAAAGGGGAUUCUUUGAAUUCCGUCAUCGCCACGGCAGCCACGGGAGGCUUUCUCUCCAUGCGGAAGGACUCGGCGCCUCCGCUCGCUCAGCUGUAUUUGGUGCGUUCUUUUGGCUCUAAUAAAAGAAGCUGGGAUUAUGCGUAAUAAGGUUAUGAGCGAUCAAUAGAGUAUGCCUAUGAUGAUUGACGAAGACCCCCCCGCCCGCGAGCGCACAUAUAUAUUGCAUCAAUACAAUGCAUUAGCAAUUUUUAUUUUUUUACAAAAUUUAAUUGUUAAUCAGGGUUUUUUGAUUUUAUGAGAUAGCAUCUUGCAGAUGGGGGCAAAAGCGUUGUAAUCUAGCAAGAUGAUGGUAUGGGUCAAAAAUCAAGUUUUUGCAAAACUAAGCACCGGACUUCCGCUAUUGGGUGCCUCUCUGACAAGUGCUCAAUUGGCUAAUUGCCAAGAGGAGGCAGAAAAGGAUGGAAUUUCCGCUGAAUUUGGGCCCCGUGGCCUCAAAGCUGAUCUGGAGCUUAUGCUUUCCCCAGCAACAGAACCUUUCUUUCACUCCAGUUUAUCCUCUUCAUGGUUUUAUUCUCAGUGUUCUUGUUAGUGGCGCUGACCAUCUCUUCAAUGAUUGUCUCGUCUGCUGCUCAACAAUGAAGAGGAUAGCUCCUCAAGAAUACCCUUCUGUUAUUGUAGUCUUCAUGUUGGACACUCCUCAUCUUCAUCCCAUUUUCUACUAUUUCUUUGCAAUCCAUACUUUCAGAAGCACUAGUGAUUUCUGCACCAUGGUGGCUUUCAUGGGAUUGUGUUGAGGAGAAAGUUGGGAUAGUGUGGUUGGGGGAGAGGGAGAGAGAUAGCAGUAGAGGACAAAAUGAUCCUCGGAGACUCGGAGUAGAGACUAAAGAGAGAAUAAUUAGUUCUGUUGUUGAAAAUGAUGAAUAUGAAUUAUUGUAUUUGGCAUUUUAUAUGGUUCAUCUGAAUAGACUCUUCAAUUACAUUUUCAGCGUUGAUAGUUGUUUGUAAAUGCUCUAUGGUUCUGGUAUUUUGGUA